GUGUUUUUCAAACUGCAGGUCAAAACCCAUUUUCAAGGAUGUGAAUUAGAAGAGAACAGAAAAAGGAGUUUAUGGUAAGAGUGAACAGCGAAGUGCUCUGCUCCAACCCUUCCCUGUUUCUGACCCCACUGCUAUGGUGUGGGUUGAGGAUUUACUGACUGUUUACCGUGUGCUGAGCCCUGGGCAGGUGCUGAUGGGGGCUCACACACUUCGGGCGGUGCAGGCAGAUGGAAUGAUGGGAAACGUGACCAGAUGAAGAGCUCCGUGGGGGAGAAGCCGCCUGAGAGCGCUGGGCCUGAAUAAAGCAGGCCCCCGACGUGCUAAGCAGGCCACAGGACUGAUACUCUGUGUUUUCACCGGACAGGGGCGGGCAGAGGGUGGACCUGCUUUGCUGUCGGCAGCAGAGACGACUCCCAGAGCAGCUUGGAUGAAUCAUCUGACACACACACACACACUCAGAAUUUGUAAAUAUGGAAGAUGGGGGUGGGGAGAGGCGGACCCACACAAGCUGAAUUUGGGAUACCUACUUUUUGGACCUGGCGUGUCUAAUUCUGUCUUCAAUUAUUGCAUCUUUUGAUCUUUUUAAAGUGAAACCGAGUGACUAACCUCAAAAGAGACCACCCUUGAGCCCGUGGCAGAAGGCAAGGACCUGUUACCUCGGGGGAUGUGACUCAUAAAAGCAGCUCAUCAAAAAACAGAUCAGCUGAAUGGGCUGUGGUCGCCAAUGGUGUUGACGUCUUUGUUUUACUUUUUAAAACCACGGUUUAGGUUCUUAGUUCCAGAGUGAUUUUUUUGUUUACAGCUGAUGUGUAGAGGAAAGAUUUGGAAUGCUGUCUGCCCUUCCCCACACCUCACAUGGAGCGUGUGUUGGAGACAAGGUGUCACAUUGGGCAUAUGAUAGAUUUGACACAUGGUGCUAGUUCCUAAAUAAAGCAGGCACCCAAAUUAAAGUACAGGUACAGAAUUAAAGUCCUCCUUUGCCUUUGAGAAUACAGGUUCUGCCUCUGCAGAAAAUAAAGAAUAAAGAAGAUAGUGAUCAAGCAAAUGGGAAUAAAAGAAAUUCUCCUGUCUUACGAGGUUCUGAGGUUAAAAGCUACCUAACAACAGCUGUGAAGCACUUUUUGUGUGCAACUGGGGCUUUAUAUUAGUGAUAUUUAAUCAGGAUGACAUAUCUUGCUGUGAUCUACAAAGCAAAACUCAACAUGUCCA